rnacentral:rRNA from 1 species
AUGGUGAGACAGAGCAUACAUGGUUAUAUGCUUGGGCAAGAACUCAUGGCUGAAUAUUUAUCUCCCGCAGCACCAACAAACAAUUCUCCCUCCAUAUUGCUGCCUUUCCACCAGCUUCUGAAAUUGCUUUGUGUGGUCCUGAUUGCCACUGAGAUGGUUUGUGGGCAGAGUGACAAGGAGGUGCUCACCGAGCUAAAGAACUUCUUGCGUGCAUACAACCAAGUAAACCAUGGUCCGUACAAUGGAUGGCUGGAGUCGGAGGCCUCUCCAUGCAAUUGGAAAGGAGUUGGAUGUGAUGCUAAUGGGCGCGCGGUGCACCCACACUUGUGGUGCUACCGGUGCAUCAGAUGCCGUAGAACAUUUUUAAAAAUCUGA